ensembl:lncRNA
GAAAAAUUACAGGAACUGCUGGAUCAACAACAACUGGCAGAAAAACCACAGGAACUGCUGGAUCAACAACAAGUAGGACAACUAGAGCAAUGGCUGGAUCAACAACAACUGGCAGAGCAACUACAAGAACUGCUGGAUCAACAACAACAGCCAGAAAAACUACAGGAACUGCUGGAUCAACAACAACAACCAGAAAAACUACAGGAACUGCUGGAUCAACAACAACAAGUAGGACAACUACAGCAAUGGCUGGAUCAACAGCAACAAGUAGAACAACUACAACAACUGCUGGAUCAACAACAACAGGCAGAAAAACUACAGGAACUGCUGGAUCAACAACAACUGGCAGAAAAAUUACAGGAACUGCUGGAUCAACAACAACAGGCAGAAAAACUACAGGAACUGCUGGAUCAACAAGAAGGACAACUACAGCAACGGCUGGAUCAACAACAACAGGCAGAAAAACUACAGGAACUGCUGGAUCAACAACAACAAGUAGGACAACUACAGCAACGGCUGGAUCAACAGCAACAAGUAGAACAACUACAACAACUGCUGGAUCAACAACAACAGCUGUUGGGAAUAUUUCUAUCACAUUUAAUCAAUAUCCUAUCACAUUCAAUCUACAAUUAAUUUCAUUAAUCAUAGCUCAUGCAAUCAUCAUUUAAUCACAACUUACCUUAUCAUAUAAUCAAAUUAUAUUAUAGUGCUAUUGCUUAUAAUGAAUUUAUGUUAACCGUGCAAGUAUAUGAAUUGCUAGUGUGCUCAUAAUGUGUUACCUAAGCCUUGACCUCUCACACAUAAACUGAAGACAGCUUAAGACAAAUGGUUUCAAUGUUUGUGCAGAUGUCAGAUACUUUUGGUGGAAAAGUACCCCACGCUAACCGUCAGGUACCACUUCACUGCAAUAGAGAUCUUAAAGGAACAUGGGGAUCUGACAGGUGUCACUUAUAGAAAUAGAUAUGCUGAAGUGGUAAAUGGUCCA